AGUCGAACGGGAAGCCGUUAAUCAAUCCUUCGGGAGAGUGAUUCGGUGGAGAGUGGCGCAAGGGUGAGUAACACGUGGGUAAUCUACCCGGAAGUUGGGAAUAACUCGGCGAAAGCCGGGCUAAUACCGGAUGUGGUCAUUUUUCGCAUGGGAAAUGAUUAAAGGCGGUGAACCUUAGGGUCCUGUCGCUUGAGGAGGAGCCCGCGCCCCAUCAGCUUGUUGGCAGGGUAAUGGCCUACCAAUGCAUACGGGUAGCUGGUCUGAGAGGAUGGUCAGCCACAGUGGGACUGAGACACUGCCCAGACUCCUACGGGAGGCUGCAGUCGAGAAUCAUUCACAAUGCGCGAAAGCGUGAUGAUGCGACGCUGCGUGGAGGAUGACGGCCUACGGGUUGUAAACUCCUGUCAUGAGGGAAAAAUAGGCUCGGCGCUAAUAUCGUCGGGAAUUGAUGGUACCUCAAGAGGAAGCCACGGAUAACUCUGUGCCAGCAGCCGCGGUAAUACAGAGGUGGCAAGCGUAGUACGGAUUUACUGGGCGUAAAGGGUGCAUAGGCAGAAAAGUAUGUCGGAUGUGAAAGCCCAGUGCUCAACGAGUGGAAUUGCAUUCGAAAAUGAAGGACUAGAGUACAGG
rnacentral:rRNA from 1 species